rnacentral:rRNA from 1 species
UACAGAGGUCCCGAGCGUUGUUCGGAUUCAUUGGGCGUAAAGGGUGUGUAGGCGGUUGGGUCAGUCAGGUGUGAAAUCUCAGGGCUUAACCCUGAAACUGCGCUUGAUACUGCCCGGCUAGAGGAUCGGAGGGGGUAACGGGAUUUAUGGUGUAGCAGUGAAAUGCGUAGAUAUCAUAAGGAACACCGGUGGCGAAGGCGGUUACCUGGAAGAUUCCUGACUCUGAAACACGAAAGCCAGGGGAGCAAACGGG